rnacentral:misc_RNA from 1 species
GACGAACUGUGCGAACGUUAUUCGGAAUCACUGGGCUUAAAGGGUGUGUAGGCGGCCGUCGAGGUAGGGUGUGAAAGGCUCCGGCUCAACCGGGGCAGGGCGCUCUAAACCGGACGGCUUGAGCGAGCUAGGGGUGUGCGGAACUGCCGGUGGAGCGGUGAAAUGUGUUGAGAUCGGCAGGAACGCCGGUGGCGAAAGCGGCACACUGGGGCUCGUCUGACGCUGAGACACGAAAGCCAGGGGAGCAAACGGG